AUUGAACGCUGGCGGCAGGCCUAACACAUGCAAGUCGAGCGGAUGAAGGGAGCUUGCUCCUGGAUUCAGCGGCGGACGGGUGAGUAAUGCCUAGGAAUCUGCCUGGUAGUGGGGGAUAACGUCCGGAAACGGGCGCUAAUACCGCAUACGUCCUGAGGGAGAAAGUGGGGGAUCUUCGGACCUCACGCUAUCAGAUGAGCCUAGGUCGGAUUAGCUAGUUGGUGGGGUAAAGGCCUACCAAGGCGACGAUCCGUAACUGGUCUGAGAGGAUGAUCAGUCACACUGGAACUGAGACACGGUCCAGACUCCUACGGGAGGCAGCAGUGGGGAAUAUUGGACGAUGGGCGAAAGCCUGAUCCAGCCAUGCCGCGUGUGUGAAGAAGGUCUUCGGAUUGUAGAGCACUUUAAGUUGGGGGGAAGGGCAGUAAGUUAAUACCUUGCUGUUUUGACGUUACCAACAGAAUAAGCACCGGCUAACUUCGUG
rnacentral:rRNA from 1 species